rnacentral:hammerhead_ribozyme from 1 species
AUCCAGCUGUCGAGUCCCAAAUAGGAUGAAACGCGCAUCCUGGAU